CCCUUAGAUGUUCUGGGCCGCACGCGCGCUACACUGAUCAGUGCAACAAGCAUCCGUCCUUGGCCGACAGGCUCGGGCAAUCUUUGAACGCUGGUCGUGAUGGGGAUAGACUUUUGCAAUUUUUGGUCUUCAACGAGGAAUUCCUAGUAAACGCAAGUCAUCAACUUGCAUUGAUUACGUCCCUGCCCUUUGUACACACCGCCCGUCGCACCUACCGAUUGAAUGGUCCGGUGAAGCCUCCGGAUUGGCGCGCACCUCGGUGCCGCCGAGAAGUUGGCUAAACCUUACCAUUUAGAGGAAGGUGAAGUCGUAACA
rnacentral:rRNA from 1 species